CCAGGCGCGGAGGCGCACAGGCCUCCUCUGCGCUCCGUAGACUGCGAACGGCCACGGCGCUAGACUCUGGCGGCGGGACUUCCGGCCGCUCGGCUCCCGCAAAAUGGCGGCCGCAGCGGGCCUUUGCGGCUUCUUUUUCCUCUCCCUAAAUUCAGGUGCAGAUGUCUCUUAUCUUUCCGCCUAACCCUAGCCUCGUGUGGUCCGCCAAUUCCUCUCUUGAUUAGCCUAGUCGUUUUUGUAGCACAGUUUUAAAAUGUCGUAGAGCUAGGAUCCUGGGUCAGAAUCUUGGCGUUCCACCUUUCCCAAGGCAGCGUGACCUUGACCUUCCUAAAUCAGAGACGAAAAUGCCUGUAAAGCUUUAGCACUCAGCUUAAUUUAGAACAAGCACACAGUUCCUGACUGCUUGUGGAUCUGUUGUGGGGGAAAUGACAUGCAUAUCCCGUCAGUAUACUGGAAGGAAAUUGCUUGUAUUGGUUGAAAAGUUACAGAGCAGAAACUGAAACUAUGGAAAAGUGAAUUCUCCUUUCUCCUCACUUUACCCUUGUUCUCUAUCUUUUAAGCCCUUCCUUGUUGCCCUUGCACCUAGCUACUUAAAAAAAAUCUCCUGACUGUAUCUCAAAACUAAAAGGAUUUGUCUUUAGAAAGUAUGGAAAUUAAUUCAAUUAAAUGAAUACUUACUGAGCUUUGACUUUUAGUAGACUACUGGAAGAUAGGCGAGGGAAGGUAAGUUAGGGUGAAACUCUAGGAGUUUCCUUAGGUUAGCCCUAGAUUUUGGACUUUAUCGUCUGACCGGAGUAAAACCAUUUAGUUUUUUUCUUUUCAUGAGAACAUGUUGUAAUGAUCACACUGUUUUCAGAUACGCAGUCUGGAAGCUUUCCCAGGACUAGUUGAAAGACUGAAUGCCAAAAAAACACAUGACUUUGGGAAAAACCAAGACAGGAGGAAAUAAAGAUUUACUGUGGGAUGAUGAUAAUGAAAAGAAUAGAAGAGGCCUGAGAGAUAUUACAGAAGGAGAACUGAUGGGACUGGAUAACUGAUAGGGCUAAUUGCUCAUCCAUUACUGUAAAGGAAGAGGAAUUGAGCUAGGUAACCCCUACAUCCUUACUAGUUCUAAAGUUCUACUAUUUCCAAUCAUUCUGUUAUCUGAAGAUGAAAGGAAGAAAUCUUUCAAGUGAAGGAAGUGGUUACAAGAAGAUAAUGAAUUUGAUUUUAGGCCUCAAGAAAUUUAGUUCAGUCUUCUCUCUUGAAGAAGUUACCAUCUUUUUCAUCUGAGGGCCUAGAGAUUAAGCUGUUGAUCUAAGAUAGCUGGCAAGAGAAUGGGAAUCUAAGUGCUCACUGUCCUGUGAACUAACUGCUCAUGAAGGUAUCAGCACAUGUAUACUUUGAAGAUGCUGUGGGUUCAGUUCCAGGCCACCACAGUAGAAUGAAUACUGCAAUAAAAGCCCGACUUUGAAAAUACAGAACUUCAUAAUUUAACAAGUCUAGUAAAGGGAUGAAAAAGAUGUUUCUUCUCUACUGCAGCUACAGAGGGAGAGGCAUUCUUCCUCAUCUUAAGACUUGGUCAAAGGAUCCGAUGAGGAGGAAUCACCUGCUUGCAUGGAAGGAGGAAUAUGUGAAGUGAGUGGCCCGGAUUACAGGGCUCUGAGAACAGAGAAACGAUGCACUUUGCCAGUCCCAGAUUCUACAACCCACGAGCUUCCAAAGUGAUUCUGGUGAGAUCUCUUGGCAUUAUGUAUGGACAAGAACCAGGAUGAAGUUGGGCGCAGUGCCUUGGAGGAGGUGCCAGGCCUCAAAACCACCAGACUCCGCCUUGUCUUCAGUUCCUAAGAGAGAAGGAAACUCUCCUUACCAUUCUCCCUAUUGGCUGUGGAUCUCAACUUAGGCAUUCCAGCCUGGAACAGUCCUCCCAAACCGGGUGGUCCACCCCCUCCAAAACUGCCACUGCCGCCACCACCACCACCACUGCUGCCACCUCCUCCACCAAAGCCGCCGCCGCCACCACCACCAGCUCCUUUAGGUUCUGUGGAAGGAAGAAAACACAAUCAUUUUAUGAUGGUGUAUGAAGACACCACCAGAGAACAUCACCAGUCCUCACCCAAGUAAACAACAGUGACACAACGGGGAGCUGGCUGAGCCCAGGCCCAUGGUGGCCAACUGGGAUUUCAUUAAAGUGCAGGAUUUUAAGGAUUCACCCCCAGUCAGAAAAGCAGGGGCUUCUUUCCACUUCAGGGCAGGCACAAACCCAGUGGUGGAAGAAUCAGUAAUAGAUAAUGACUUUGCCCUACUUGGCUAGCUGCCAUAUGAGUUAAUAUCUAUUUGUUCUAUAUUAUAAGGUUUGGCAAAUAGAUGUAUCUUCAAAGAAGUCUCAAGGGAAGAGGAGAUGCAAUAAAAGGUGAGAAGGGAAGAGUAAAAAUAAAGAGAAAAAAAAUCCUGUAAUUUUGUUCCAUGGAAAUAUCUAUUGUUUUGAUGUAUGUUUCUCUGCCAAUUUUUUUUCAUUUUAUAUAUAUUUUUCUUCAAAUUAAGACCAAAUUCACUACAUAGUUUUUAGCCUGCUUUUUUCACCUGACACUUUAUUGUUAGCAUUUCCCAUGUCAUUAAAUGUUCUUUGAAAACAUGAGUUUAAAGGAUUGCAUUGUAUUUUAGAACAUGAAUUUACUGUAAUUUAUUUAACCAUCUACUUAUCUGAUGGCCUUUCAGGUUGAUUUCAACUUUUUAAGAUCGUAAAGCCCAAUAGUAGACUUUAACAUUAAAAAAAACUCUUGUUUUAUUUUGCAUUUGUUGCUAGAAAAUUGUGAAAGAUUUUGAAAUGGGCAAACAAGCAACAAAAAAAGAAAAGGAAGAAGAUGAAAAAGAUUACUAAGCAUUCAGCCUAGCCUUCUGGGUUAUUUCGCAUUGCUUUUGAGCUAGUUUACAACUCUGUAAGUUGUAAAAAACUGAUAAUAUCGCAAAUGACAUUUGUCCUUAAAAAUGCAAAUUGGUGUGUUUGGUGUAAGGCAAUUGAUUAUUGACCCAUUUUGCACCUAUUUCUAAGUUCAUUUCAACACUUACCUGCCUAUAUAUGUGUGGUACUUUGAAUCCUCCUUUGAAUUGAUAGUAUAUUGAUUCCCUCUAAUAGCUAAAUAAAAUCUUUGAUAUGUUUAUUUUAUGUCUCUAUGAAAGCCAUGGUUAUACUCUCUUUAAAAAAAUGUCUCUUAACAAUUUAUGUGUGUAUGUAUUAUGAGGUUAAAAAUUAUUUAAAAUUCUACUCCUGGAAAACCUUGUUGAGUCUUUGAUGAGUAUUACAUGAGAUCUACAAAUUAAUCUGGGAGAACUGACACUUUUAUGAUAUUUAGACUUUAUAGAAACAUGGUAUAUUUUCCCAUAUCUUCUCAUUUAUUCAGUAAAGUUUUGUAACUUUUAUGAUAUGGGUCACCUAUGCUUCUUCAGGGUCACUUCAAAUACAUUUGUGCUUGUUGAAAUUAUAAAAGGGGUAUUUUUCCUACUAUAUUUUGAAUUUGGUUAUUAAUUGGCAUCAGGAAAUUUCAUUUGAUAUCUAAUAAAUCACUUUGCUGUAUUUUCUAAAUUUUAUUUUAAAAAUUUUACCUUGGAAUUUCUAGUAGACAUACGGUCUGCAAAUAAUAAAGGUUUUACCCCCUCUUUA